rnacentral:lncRNA from 1 species
CAGUAGCUACAAACAACCUAAGAGUAAAAAAAAUAAAUAGAAAAUGAAGAACAAAACAGCUAUUAAUACUAUAUGAUUUUACACUGGAUAUGCAUAUGCUUUUAAAAAUAAAGAAAUUCCAAAAAAAAAAAAAUCAUCAUAGAAUCUUGAAUUUUCGAUCCCGCUUAACAAAAUCUUUAAAAAUAUGAUUGUUUCCAAUCAUACAUAAGUUCUAGUCAUAUUCAUAACAUAAUAUUUUAGUUUCGCUUAUGAGGCAAAAGUUCGCGACAUUUCAAGAUGUUAUUGAAGCAAAACUUGCGACCAAUUGAGUAAACAUACUAUAUUGAAAUGUCUCUGUACUCUUGUCUUAUACAAAACUAAUUUAUGUCCGAUGGACAAUAAAGAUCAUUUUUUCCUAAAAAAAAUAUUAAGCGGGGCCAAAAAAUCAGUACGAAUGCUUGAUAGUUGAUACUAUCAAGCACCUUUGAUGUGUUGAACUUGUUGAAAAUGCUUUUGAGCUGCUAUAUUACUAGUAUUUGUUGUAUCCUCAUUGAUUUCUCUCUCAAGUAAUUGUGUAUCAUUCUCAUGAUUUUCAUUAAUAAAGUUCUCACGACAAAGAAAUUUGCAAAGGGUGUUGAUAAAACAUCCCAAAAUUGGAAUUUUUGAAAGAAAAUAUGUAAUUUGUUGUAGAUUCAUGGCAAAUUUAAUCAAAAAAAGAAAAUUUGUAAAAUGGUUUUUGAGUGAAGAAGGCAAG